rnacentral:rRNA from 1 species
AGUCGAGGGGUAUUGUUCUUCGGAAUGAGGGACCGGCGCACGGGUGCGUAACGCGUAUGCAAUCUACCUUUCACAGAGGGAUAGCCCAGAGAAAUUUGGAUUAAUACCUCAUAGUAUGCAGAGUUGGCAUCAACACUGCAUUAAAGUCACAACGGUGAAAGAUGAGCAUGCGUCCCAUUAGCUAGUUGGUAAGGUAACGGCUUACCAAGGCUACGAUGGGUAGGGGUCCUGAGAGGGAGAUCCCCCACACUGGUACUGAGACACGGACCAGACUCCUACGGGAGGCAGCAGUGAGGAAUAUUGGACAAUGGGCGCAAGCCUGAUCCAGCCAUGCCGCGUGCAGGAUGACGGUCCUAUGGAUUGUAAACUGCUUUUGCACAGGAAGAAACAACUCUACGUGUAGAGUCUUGACGGUACUGUGAGAAUAAGGAUCGGCUAACUCCGUGCCAGCAGCCGCGGUAAUACGGAGGAUCCAAGCGUUAUCCGGAAUCAUUGGGUUUAAAGGGUCCGUAGGCGGUUUAGUAAGUCAGUGGUGAAAGCCCAUCGCUCAACGGUGGAACGGCCAUUGAUACUGCUAGACUUGAAUUAUUAGGAAGUAACUAGAAUAUGUAGUGUAGCGGUGAAAUGCUUAGAGAUUACAUGGAAUACCAAUUGGCGAGGCAGGUUACUACUAAUGGAUUGACGCUGAUGGACGAAAGCGUGGGUAGCGAACAGGA